rnacentral:rRNA from 1 species
GUGCCAGCAGCCGCGGUAAGACAGAGGGUGCAAACGUUGUUCGGAAUCACUGGGCGUAAAGCGCGUGUAGGCGGCUUGGCAAGUCGGAUGUGAAAGCCCACGGCUCAACCGUGGAAGUGCACUCGAAACUGCCAGACUAGAGUCCUGGAGAGGAAGGCGGAAUGCUAGGUGUAGAGGUGAAAUUCGUAGAUAUCUAGCGGAACACCGGUGGCGAAGGCGGCCUUCUGGACAGUGACUGACGCUGAAACGCGAAAGCGUGGGGAGCAAACAGGAUUAGAUACCCCCGUAGUCC